UACGGAGGGGGCUAGCGUUGUUCGGAAUUAUUGGGCGUAAAGCGCGCGCAGGCGGCUUCUUAAGUCUGAUGUGAAAUCUCGGGGCUCAACCCCGAGCGGCCAUUGGAAACUGGGAAGCUUGAGUGCAGAAGAGGAGAGUGGAAUUCCACGUGCAGCGGUGAAAUGCGUAGAUAUGUGGAGGAACACCAGUGGCGAAGGCGACUCUCUGGUCUGUAACUGACGCUGAGGCGCGAAAGCGUGGGGAGCAAACAGG
rnacentral:rRNA from 1 species